UACGUAGGGGGCAAGCGUUGUCCGGAUUUAUUGGGCGUAAAGAGCGUGUAGGCGGCCUGGUAGGUCGGUUGUGAAAACUUGAGGCUUAACCUCGAGACGUCGACCGAAACCACCUGGCUAGAGUCCGGAAGAGGAGAGUGGAAUUCCUGGUGUAGCGGUGAAAUGCGCAGAUAUCAGGAAGAACACCCGGUGGCGAAGGCGGUCUC
rnacentral:rRNA from 1 species